UACGUAGGGGGCAAGCGUUAUCCGGAUUUACUGGGCAUAAAGGGCGCGUAGGCGGUUUAUUAAGUCAGAUGUUAAAGCCAGCAGCUCAACUGCUGUUCGCAUUUGAUACUGGUGAACUAGAGAUCAGGAGAGGAAAGCGGAACAUACAGUGUAGCGGUGAAAUGCGUAGAUAUUGUAUGGAACACCAGUUGCGAAGGCGGCUUUCUGGACUGAUUCUGACGCUGAGGCGCGAAAGCGUGGGGAGCAAACAGG
rnacentral:rRNA from 1 species